UACGUAGGGUGCAAGCGUUAAUCGGAAUUACUGGGCGUAAAGCGUGCGCAGGCGGUUCGGAAAGACAGAUGUGAAAUCCCAGAGCUUAACUUUGGAACUGCAUUUUUAACUGCCGAGCUAGAGUAUGUCAGAGGGGGGUAGAAUUCCACGUGUAGCAGUGAAAUGCGUAGAGAUGUGGAGGAAUACCGAUGGCGAAGGCAGCCCCCUGGGAUAAUACUGACGCUCAUGCACGAAAGCGUGGGGAGCAAACAGG
rnacentral:rRNA from 1 species